rnacentral:rRNA from 1 species
UACGGAGGAUGCAAGCGUUAUCCGGAUUCAUUGGGUUUAAAGGGUGCGUAGGCGGGCUAUUAAGUCAGUGGUGAAAUCCUGCAGCUUAACUGCAGAACUGCCGUUGAUACUGAUAGUCUUGAGUUUGGUUAAGGUAGGCGGAAUGUGUAAUGUAGCGGUGAAAUGCUUAGAUAUCACACAGAACACCGAUUGCGAAGGCAGCACACUAAGUCAUUAUUGACGCUGAGGCACGAAAGUGUGGGGAUCAAA